rnacentral:rRNA from 1 species
UACGGAGGGUGCAAGCGUUAUCCGGAUUUACUGGGUUUUAAAGGGUGCGCAGGCGGAUAUGUAAGUCAGUGGUGAAAUCUCUAGGCUUAACCUGGAAAUUGCCGUUUGAUACUAUAUAUCUUUGAAUGCUGUGGAGGUAAGCGGAAUAUGUCAUGUAGCGGUGAAAUGCUUAGAUAUGACAUAGAACACCUAUUGCGAAGGCAGCUUACUACGCAGAUAUUGACGCUCAUGCACGAAAGCGUGGGGAUCAAACAGG